AGUGAACGCUGGCGGUAGGCCUAACACAUGCAAGUCGAACGGCAGCACAGUAAGAGCUUGCUCUUACGGGAGACGAGUGGCGGAUGGGUGCGGAAUACAUCGGAAUCUACUUAUUCGUGGGGGAUUACGUAGGGCAACUUACGCUAAUACCGCAAACGACCUACGGGUGAAAGCAGGGGAUCUUCGGACCUUGCGCGAUUGAAUGAGCCGAUGUCGGAUUAGCUAGUUGGCGGAGUAAAGGCCCACCAAGGCGACGAUCCGUAGCUGGUCUGAGAGGAUGAUCAGCCACACUGGAACUGAGACACGGUCCAGACUCCUACGGGAGGCAGCAGUGGGGAAUAUUGGACAAUGGGCGCAAGCCUGAUCCAGCCAUACCGCGUGGGUGAAGAAGGCCUUCGGGUUGUAAAGCCCUUUUGUUGGGAAAGAAAAGCAGCAGGUUAAUACCCCGCUGUUCUGACGGUACCCAAAGAAUAAGCACCGGCUAACUUCGUG
rnacentral:rRNA from 1 species